GGGGGUAUAGCUCAGUGGUAGAGCUUCCGACUGCAGAUCGGAGGGUCUCCAGUUCAAACCUGGAUGCCCCCU
rnacentral:tRNA from 1 species